ACGUACGCUGGCGGCACGCCUAACACAUGCAAGUCGAACGAAGUAGCAAUACUUAGUGGCAGACGGGUGAGUAACAUGUAGGUAUCUGCCCUUUGGCCUGGAAUAACACGAGGAAACUUGUGCUAAUACCGGAUAAGUCUUUACGGAGAAAGCUUUAUGCACCAUUGGAUGAGCCUGCACUUGAUUAGUUUGUUGGUGGGGUAAUGGCCUACCAAGACUGUGAUCAAUAGCUGAUUUGAGAGGAUGAUCAGCCACAUUGGGACUGAGACACGGCCCAAACUCCUACGGGAGGCAGCAGUGGGGAAUCUUGCACAAUGGAGGAAACUCUGAUGCAGCGAUGCCGCGUGAGUGAAGAAGGCCUUUGGGUUGUAAAGCUCUUUCGUCGGGGAAGAAAAUGACUGUACCCGAAUAAGAAGGUCCGGCUAACUUCGUGCCAGCAGCCGCGGUAAUACGAAGGGACCUAGCGUAGUUCGGAAUUACUGGGCUUAAAGAGUUCGUAGGUGGUUGAAAAAGUUAGUGGUGAAAUCCCAGAGCUUAACUCUGGAACUGCCAUUAAAACUUUUCAGCUAGAGUAUGAUAGAGGAAAGCAGAAUUUCUAGUGUAGAGGUGAAAUUCGUAGAUAUUAGAAAGAAUACCAAUUGCGAAGGCAGCUUUCUGGAUCAUUACUGACACUGAGGAACGAAAGCAUGGGUAGCGAAGAGGAUUAGAUACCCUCGUAGUCCAUGCCGUAAACGAUGUGUGUUAGACGUUGGAAAUUUAUUUUCAGUGUCGCAGCGAAAGCGAUAAACACACCGCCUGGGGAGUACGACCGCAAGGUUAAAACUCAAAUGAAUUGACGGGGACCCGCACAAGUAGUGGAGCAUGUGGUUUAAUUCGAAGAUACGCGCAGAACCUUACCAACACUUGACAUGUUCGUCGCGACUCUAAGAGAUUAGAGUUUUCGGUUCGGCCGGACGAAACACAGGUGCUGCAUGGCUGUCGUCAGCUCGUGUCGUGAGAUGUUGGGUUAAGUCCCGCAACGAGCGCAACCCUCACUUUUAGUUGCCAUCAUUAAGUUGGGCACUCUGAAAGAACUGCCAGUGAUAAGCUGGAGGAAGGUGGGGAUGACGUCAAGUCCUCAUGGCCCUUACGUGUUGGGCUACACACGUGCUACAAUGGUAUUUACAACAGGAAGCAAGACUGCGAAGUUAAGCAAAUCCCUAAAAGAUACCUCAGUUCGGAUUGCACUCUGCAACUCGAGUGCAUGAAGCUGGAAUUACUAGUAAUCGUGGAUCAGCGUGCCACGGUGAAUGCGUUCCCGGGUCUUGUACACACCGC
rnacentral:rRNA from 1 species